CAAGAGCGUAUAUUAAAGUUGCUGCGGUUAAAAAGCUCGUAGUUGGAUUUCAGUCUAGGAAGGUUAACUCGCCGAAAGGUUGUACGUUGAUUUUCCUCAGACUUCGUCAGAAGCUCGUGCUGCACUUAACUGUGUGGUACGAUGUUCUGACCUUUUACCUCGAGGAAAGUAGAGUGUUUCAGGCAGGCUACCCAGCUUGAAUACAUUAGCAUGGAAUAAUGAAAUGGAUCUCGGUUCGAUUUCGUUGGUUCUAGAGCUGAGGUGAUGAUCAAUAGGAACAGGCGAAGGUAUUCGUACUUGAGAGUGAGGAGUGAAAUCCGAUGAUCUCUUAAAGACGAUCCGAGGCGAAAGCAUUUGUCAAGGAUGUUUUCAUUGA
rnacentral:rRNA from 1 species